UACGGAGGGUGCAAGCGUUAUCCGGAUUCACUGGGUUUAAAGGGUGCGUAGGUGGGCAGGUAAGUCAGUGGUGAAAUCUCCGGGCUUAACCCGGAAACUGCCAUUGAUACUAUCUGUCUUGAAUAUCGUGGAGGUGAGCGGAAUAUGUCAUGUAGCGGUGAAAUGCUUAGAUAUGACAUAGAACACCAAUUGCGAAGGCAGCUCACUACACAAUUAUUGACUCUGAGGCACGAAAGCGUGGGGAUCAAACAGG
rnacentral:rRNA from 1 species